rnacentral:rRNA from 1 species
UACGAGCGGCCCAAACAUUAUUCGGAAUUACUGGGCUUAAAGAGUUCGUAGGCGGCGCGGAAAGUCGGGUGUGAAAGCCCUCGGCUUAACCGAGGAAUUGCGCUCUAAACUGCCGUGCUAGAGGAAGCUAGAGGUGAGCGGAACUGAUGGUGGAGCGGUGAAAUGCGUUGAUAUCAUCAGGAACACCGGAGGCGAAGGCGGCUCACUGGGGCUUUUCUGACGCUGAGGAACGAAAGCCAGGGUAGCGAACGGG